GGAAUUAUUACCAUGAUAAAGCAGUUUUUUGUAUAGUUCAUUUCCCCUUACAUGCUGAGUAAAAUUGUUUUGGAGGUCAGAAAUGUGUUUAGCAUUUAAGGUAAAUGUUUUAAAGUUUCAGUCUUAGUCACUGUGUGUUUUAUUACUAAAAACAAGGGCAAAUAAUUAUUUUUAGUGAUAUUCGACGCACAAACUUUGAUUAUAAAAACAGUCACAUAAAUUCCUAUUGAAAAUUAUUAAAAUAAGUAAUUCUGUAUUUAAAAUCUGCUGCUUUGCUGCUGCUUUCAUUCCUUGACAUUGUGAUGACACUUACAUUGGAACUAAAGGAUGAAGCCGUGGCGCCGACUCCCGGCACAUCAGUUGGGCUGUGCCGCAGUGACAGCACCACAGGGAUUUGAUUCUGGCUCCCCUCACAAAAUCUUUUUUUUUUUUUUUUUUACCACCAGUGCCCAGGCAUGGCUAGCAUAGGUGUGGAUACAGUUGGGAGGGUGGUGUUUACUCCGGCUGUUGGUUGUGAGAUCCGUCACAGUUCUCUCUCACAGCAUUCCUGUUCCAUUCUCGAGUCCAGAGAGCGAUGGUGUGGCACACAUCUGUAGGCUGGUGGCCAGGGACGGUGCCUGAGCAAUCACAGCCACAUCAGCUCAUCUGAUGUGUUGUCAGAUGACGCACAAAACCUAACUCGCAACCUGCCUCCAGUGGUCUUUGGUGGAACUGCAACACUUUAAAGGCCUACUUUAGGUUUUGACCAGACCCAUACGCUCUGUUUUUAAAAACAAAAAUGUUAAUUUCAUUAAAGUUUCAAUUUAUGUUGAGCCCUUUAACACCAGAGCUUUAGAAUUCUGAAGAAAAGUAAAAAAGUUUUGUGUCGAUAUUCAGCACUUUACUGUAAUGACGUGUUUACACGUUGUGAAUCAGCCAAUCCACAUCAGAUUUUGUAGGAAUAACGUUAGUUCCCUUCAGUUCACUUUUCCCUUUUUUUGCGCAAUUUUGCAUGCUUUUUAUUGUCAUUUCUUUCAAACAACGCCUAGUGUGAUUGGUUGUAGACAUUGACAUUGUUCUACAAAGAUUUGAAUUUUGCAAAUUUAAACAGAAGAGAAAAUAAAGUAUAAAAAUGUUGAUUUAUGUCUAAAAAAAACCUGCAGUUUUGCGGGCUAAAAAACAUAGAAAAUUCUACUUACCUGAUUGCACCUGUUGCUGGUUAUUUUUUAAAAUGUAACCACUGGUAUAAAUGAGGGCAAAUUUAAUUUUGGUGUCGGCAACAAGCUAUGGUUUUGUAAGGUCCUUCUGGACGUAAUGAAAAAGCAGAGACGACCGGUUCCAACUGGGUUUUUUUUUUUUAUUGAACUCGUAACCACGCCGCUCUGACUUACUCGUACCUCAUUCUUCACACUCCCACAAACCUUCUUAUAUUGUCCUGCUCCUCCACCCAAAACCCACACUCAUCCAAUCACGUUCAUCCAACUGACUGGAGCGCCAACACAACACAGAACACAUGGAAAAAUCUCAACGUUGGUGGAUACAGUUUUGUCUUUUUUUCUUUUUUUUUUUUUCUUUUUUUUUUAUUGGCAGUAUGUUGGAUUUAAAGGUGGAGCCAAUGAAUUACCAUUUGUUUUUAGACAACAGGGUGAAGUAAACAUCAGUCAAAAUGGCUGCACCUCUUGAGGCUUCCUUUUUGGUGCUCUGAAUCCUUAAUCGCCCGCUGUCCAGUAAACUGCGAGGUUACCGAGACUGCCUGCAGCUAGCAGAGACACAAGGCCGAGGCAGUCUGAGGAGACAGAAAUGGACAAGUAAAACUUUUUACAAGGCGAUUUGAAAACAUUGCAGCAAGAGAAGUAAAGUGGUUCCUGUUUUUGAUCCUGCCUUUAAGACAUCCUAGACAGAUGUGGUUUGUGAUGAAUGCAGAUGUUCUUAAAUGUUUUUUAUUAGUCUCCUUCUGUCUUUUUAUUGUAAAGAUUAACUUAGUGCCUCCUGUAGACUUUUUAUUGUGAAUCUCAAUGUGCAAAGAUGAGAUGUUUUAUUUGUAUGUAAUUUAAAUUGCGCUGUCAUUCUGCUUUUGUAAUUUCGCUGCAAACUCAGGUUGUUGUAAAUAAAAAAAAUGGUUCUCAGUCAACUAAUUUGUAUUUCUCCAUUGGUCAAUCUUUCUGCUUAUUUAAAGACAAUGUGCCAAUGGAGUUAAAAUGUUUGAGUCAUUUCUAAGGGGCCUGUUUUUACAGAGGAUGAAUCAAC